rnacentral:lncRNA from 1 species
GGGUUGGGAUUAAAGAGGGAAUGGAGACCGACAAGGUAAAGGUGGACAUGGUUAGGUUAAGGUUUUCUUUCUAGGCGGCAUUGACCUCAGAGUGNCUUUACAUUGCAUUAACCGUAAAAGUCAAUAGAAAAAUGGCAGUAAUCAAAGAUUAUACAAGUAGACAUGCAUAUCCAAAUUAAAAUCCUCUCCAUGAUAUCAUUCUCUAGGCAUACACAAAAUAAAGGAAAAAGUUACAUAAGCUAGAAGAAAUUAAAUCAACAAAAUGAAAAAAGAAAACAACGGGUAUAGCCAGCAAGUUUCAAACCUAGGAUGCAAGGUUCAAGCUUGAUCUGCUUCCCAGCAAUGUCAAUCUUAUUCAAAGCACGAAGAGAAAUUCCGCAACUCGGACAUCAUACAAACCAUUACCAGGUCAUAGUUGAAAUGAACACAGGGAUUGAAGAAGAUGCAGAGGCUCUCCAAACGAGGGAUGCAAGGUCGACGACGAAGGCCUUGUUGGAUUUAGGAUGAAUGUGGAGAAGGGUGAGGAGGUUAAACUCGUCACGAAGGAUGUUACCAUUGUCAGAGAUUCGUUGGGGUAGUAGUUGUAGGCUUAGGGGUUGGGAUUAAAGAGGGAAUGGAGACCGACAAGGUAAAGGUGGACAUGGUUAGGUUAAGGUUUUCUUUCUAGGCGGCAUUGACCUCAGAGUGCGAGAAUAGGAGUCCUAGGGUUCCUCUGUGACAAAUGUAGGGUUCGUUGACGGAGAACACGGGUACCACAACAAGGAGGCCACAACUUGAAGACGACGAUUGGAGGCAGGGACUCCUAGGGUUUGAGCCACGAAGAUGAUCGUUCGAUGAAUGAAGAUGAUGGUUACAGAUGAUGGAGGGAAAAAAGCACGAGAAGA